GUAUUUCAUUUCGCCAUACGGCAGACAAACAUCCAAUAUUUUAAAACAAGAGUUUGUGGAUUUCGAAAGCAGAUUUAAUCCUGCCUUCAAAACUAAGUGCACAGGUGUAAAUUGGACUAGGAGAGCGAGCACAUGCAGUCAAAACUGCCAGCAUCAACUCCCUGUAAAUUCACUAAUGAUCCUUCCGCAGGUUCACCUACGGAAA
rnacentral:misc_RNA from 1 species